GACGAACGCUGGCGGCGUGCUUAACACAUGCAAGUCGAACGGGUCUGCCCUGUUUUUUGCGGGGUGGGUCAGUGGCGAACGGGUGAGUAACACGUGAGUAACCUGCCCCUCACUUCUGGAUAACCGCUUGAAAGGGUGGCUAAUACGGGGUGUUCUGGCUGUGCCGCAUGGUGUGGCUGGGAAAGAUUCACUUUUGUGGUGUUUUGGUGGGUGAUGGGCUCGCGGCCUAUCAGCUUGUUGGUGGGGUGAUGGCCUGCCAAGGCUUUGACGGGUAGCCGGCCUGAGAGGGUGGGCGGUCAGACUGGGACUGAGAUACGGCCCAGACUGCGGCGGGAGGCAGCAGUGGGGGGUAGUGCACAGUGGGCGGAAGCGUGAUGCAGCGACGUCGCGUGAGGGAUGGAGGCCUGCGGGUUGUGAACCUCUUUCGGCGGUGAAGAAGGUCCUGCUCUUUGGGGGGGGGUUGACGGUAGCCGGGUUAUGAAGCGCCGGCUAACUACGUG
rnacentral:rRNA from 1 species